AAACACUACAUGUAUGUUAUGAUGUCUGACUGUCUAUGGAGGUGUGGAACGUAAACACUACAUGUUGUGAUGUCUGACUGUCUAUGGAGGUGUGGAACGUAAACACUAUAUGUUAUGAUGUCUGACUGUCUAUGGAGGUGUGGAACGUAAACACUACAUGUUGUGAUGUCUGACUGUCUAUGGAGGUGUGGAACGUAAACACUACAUGUAUGUUGUGAUGUCUGACUGUCUAUGGAGGUGUGGAACGUAAACACUACAUGUUGUGAUGUCUGACUGUCUAUGGAGGUGUGGAACGUAAACACUACAUGUAUGUUAUGAUGUCUGACUGUCUAUGGAGGUGUGGAACGUAAACACUACAUGUAUGUUAUGAUGUCUGACUGUCUAUGGAGGUGUGGAACGUAAACACUACAUGUAUGUUGUGAUGUCUGACUGUCUAUGGAGGUGUGGAACGUAAACACUACAUGUAUGUUGUGAUGUCUGACUGUCUAUGGAGGUGUGGAACGUAAACACUACAUGUAUGUUGUGAUGUCUGACUGUCUAUGGAGGUGUGGAACGUAAACACUACAUGUAUGUUGUGAUGUCUGACUGUCUAUGGAGGUGUGGAACGUAAACACUACAUGUAUGUUGGUAGCGUGUUGUAUGCGUUUUCUCGGUGGGUGGGAGGUCACUUGGCACAUGUUGAUGACACGGGUGCUGUCAGAGGAUUGAUGAUGUCAUUAAGAAAGGACCUGACCUCUUCUCAGAACCCCAGUGGAAACAGCAGACGUCAUCCCAGAUGGAUGAUGACCCAUGUUAACUUAAUCCAGAGCCGGCCAGUUGUUUACCUAUAACUCACUGUGGUGACGAGCUAACAUGGAAAACAUGUUUCCCCCCCAGGACACCGGCAGAGUUAAAAAGGAUGAAGAAAAUGUGUUUUUAACAACUAACCAUUUGUAAAAAUAGAAACAGGGGAACUAUGUUGGAUGAGAACUGUGAGUCAGAACGAGGGACAGAGAGACAGAGCGGGUCUAUAAACAGAGGGGUAGAGAGAGGGGUAUAUACACAGAGGGGUAGAGAGAGGGGUAUAUAAACAGAGGGGUAGAGAGAGGGAUAUAUAAACAGAGGAGUAGAGA